GAUGAACGCUGGCGGCGUGCUUAACACAUGCAGGUCGAACGGGAUCCAAGGGGUGCUUGCACUUUUUGGUGAGAGUGGCGAACGGGUGAGUAACACGUGAGUAACCUGUCCUUUUCUUUGGGAUAAGCAUUCGAAAGGGUGUUUAAUACCUUAUGUUCUGUCUGCCUCGCAUGGGGUGGGUGGGAAAGGCUUUGGCCGGAUUUGGGUGGGCUCGCGGUCUAUCAGCUUGUUGGUGGGGUGAUGGCUUACCAAGGCUUUGGCGGGUAGCCGGCCUGAGAGGGUGGUCGGUCAGAGUGGGAUUGAGAUACGGCCCAGACGCCUGCGGGAGGCAGCAGUGGGGGAUAGUGCACAAUGGGCGAAAGCCUGAUGCAGCGACGCCGCGUGGGGGAUGAAGGCCUUCGGGUUGUAAACUUCUGUUGCUCUGAACAAGGCAUGCCAGUGGGUGUGUUGAGUGUAGGGGUUGAUUAGCGCCGGCUAACUACGUG
rnacentral:rRNA from 1 species